rnacentral:rRNA from 1 species
CCUACGGGUGGCAGCAGUGAGGAAUAUUGGUCAAUGGGCGAGAGCCUGAACCAGCCAAGUCGCGUGAGGGAGUACUGCCCUAUGGGUUGUAAACCUCUUUUGUCGGGGAGCAAAAGCCGGACGUGUCCGGCUGUGAGAGUACCCGAAGAAAAAGCAUCGGCUAACUCCGUGCCAGCAGCCGCGAUAAUACGGAGGAUGCGAGCGUUAUCCGGAUUUAUUGGGUUUAAAGGGUGCGCAGGCGGGUUUUUAAGUCAGCGGUAAAAUCGUGGGGCUCAACCCCAUCCAGCCGUUGAAACUGGGGAUCUAGAGUGUGCGAGAGGUAUGCGGAAUGCGUGGUGUAGCGGUGAAAUGCAUAGAUAUCACGCAGAACCCCGAUUGCGAAGGCAGCAUACCGGUGCACAACUGACGCUCAGGCACGAAAGCGUGGGUAUCGAACAGGAUUAGAUACCCUUGUAGUC